UCCGAUUGAACGAGCAGGUCCGUAUCAUUAUUUAAGACAUUUACAAAAAAGAAUCGGGUCAUUUCACUAUCGUAUGAGGAAAUUACGGCCUUUUUAGUGAAGGAUUUAACUGCUGUUUUUCUGGUGCAUAACAGUCAUGCACUGUUAUAAAAAUCUCAGACUGUGUUCAUUUGGUAUUUUGAGCAUAUCGGGAGUUCUAGAGAUCGGAAUGGAGUGAUUCUUACGGGUUUCUUCUUGAAUUAAUAUGAGGGUUAGUAUUCAAUCUUCAAUUCGACAUUUUCUCAUAAUUUCCUUAUCUGGUUUUUUUCCCUAUCCGUAAACCUCUUGGGAAAAAUUGGGGUUUUAUCGAUUUGGACUCCCUUUUUGAUGAAAAAGGUAUAUUUACGAUCCUUAUGUUAUGGGUAAACUGAUUUUAACAUAAAAUUAUUGAUUCAUCGAUUAUUUUCAUCAUAUUAACCGCUUACAAUUUGGACUUUCCCGGUAAAGUUAAAGUUUGAUAAAUUGAGAAUUUCAAGGUCGAUCUUAACUCCGUUUUUGAUGAAAUUUCAUAUUUGAACUUAUCUAAGCAUGGGUAAGAUGUUUUUCAAGAGAUAUUUCAUUUUCGAGUCGGGGUUUCGGAUCCGAAUAUUUUGGGCUUCUUCAAGAACAUGAAUUUUCCUUCAAAUUGAGUUUGUGAACUCAUUUCAACUCCUUUUUCGAAACGGUUUUCACUAUUGGAUUCUAAAUUUCUUGGGGAACAUUUUUCACUAAAAAUUUCCAGAUUUCGAGAAUAUUUUCCGGAACGAGAUUUUUGACCAUUUUACCCUUGUUCUCCAAAUUUCACGAUAUUGGUGUUGUUAGAUUCGUAUUUAUUGUGGGAUUCCAUUUAUGAAUAGAUUGUGGUGAUUUGGAGCGUGCUCGGAAGGGUAAAACUCAAAUUUGAGUUACUAGUUGAAGUGUUUUGAGGCAAGUGACUUCUAAACUUUGUUAAACUCUUAGACUACACAUGACUACUUUCCUAAUUGUGUUGGGGAGUAAUGGGGAUUGAGGAUGAGUUUUAUUUGUUGAUUGAAAUUGUUGUAAAUGAAAGAUGGGGAAUAAAACAAGCUAAAUGUGUUAUUUAUAGGACUUAUCUGCAAAUUUUGGUGCAUUUUCGCUAACCCGAGAUUGGAUUUUUAUCGCAAAUAAGAAAUAAUUGUUUACCGAGUAGAAAUGAUAUUUGACUGGGCAAACGAGCAUGAAAUUGAGCUCCGAUUGAACGAGCAGGUCCGUAUCAUUAUUUAAGACAUUUACAAAAAAGAAUCGGGUCAUUUCACUAUCGUAUGAGGAAAUUACGGCCUUUUUAGUGAAAGAUUAACUGCUGUUUUUCUGGUGCAUAACAGCCAUGUACUGUUAUAAAAAUCUCAGACUGUGUUCAUUUGGUAUUUUGAGCAUAUCGGGAGUUCUAGAGAUCGGAAUGGAGUGAUUC
rnacentral:lncRNA from 1 species